rnacentral:rRNA from 1 species
UACGGAGGGUGCGAGCGUUGUCCGGAAUCAUUGGGCGUAAAGGGCGCGUAGGUGGCCCGGUCAGUCAGUGGUGAAAGCGCGGGGCUCAACUCCGCGUCGGCCAUUGAUACUGCUGGGCUGGAGCACUGUAGAGGCAGGCGGAAUUCCGGGUGUAGCGGUGGAAUGCGUAGAGAUCCGGAAGAACACCGGUGGCGAAGGCGGCCUGCUGGGCAGUUGCUGGACACUGAGGCGCGACAGCGUGGGGAGCAACAGG